CAGUCGCCGCGGUAAUACGAGGGGGGCAAGCGUUGUUCGGAAUUAUUGGGCGUAAAGGGUGCGUAGGCGGUUUGAUAAGUCUGAUGUGAAAUCUAUGGGCUCAACCCAUAGUCUGCAUCGGAAACUGUCAGGCUUGAGAGUGGGAGAGGUGAGUGGAAUUUCCGGUGUAGCGGUGAAAUGCGUAGAUAUCGGAAGGAACACCUGUGGCGAAAGCGGCUCACUGGACCAUUUCUGACGCUGAUGCACGAAAGCUAGGGGAGCAAAUGGGAUUAGAUACCCCCGUAGUCCCUGUCUCUUAUAA
rnacentral:rRNA from 1 species